rnacentral:misc_RNA from 1 species
GACGAAGAACGCAGCAAAAUGCGAUAAGUAAUGUGAAUUGCAGAAUUCAGUGAAUCAUCGAAUCUUUGAACGCACAUUGCGCCCGCCAGUAUUCUGGCGGGCAUGCCUGUCCGAGCGUCAUUUCAACCCUCGAACCCCUCCGGGGGGUCGGCGUUGGGGAUCGGCCCUGCCUCUUGGCGGUGGCCGUCUCCGAAAUACAGUGGCGGUCUCGCCGCAGCCUCUCCUGCGCAGUAGUUUGCACACUCGCAUCGGGAGCGCGGCGCGUCCACAGCCGUUAAACACCCAACUUCUGAAAUGUUGACCUCGGAUCAGGUAGGAAUACCCGCUGAACUUAAGCAUAUCAAUAAGCGGAGGA